UGGGGAAUAUUGCACAAUGGGCGCAAGCCUGAUGCAGCCAUGCCGCGUGUAUGAAGAAGGCCUUCGGGUUAUAAAGUACUUUCAGCGAGGAGGAAGGCGUUGUGGUUAAUAACCGCAACGAUUGACGUUACUCGCAGAAGAAGCACCGGCUAACUCCGUGCCAGCAGCCGCGGUAAUACGGAGGGUGCAAGUGUUAAUCGGAAUUACUGGGCGUAAAGCGCACGCAGGCGGUCUGUCAAGUCGGAUGUGAAAUCCCCGGGCUCAACCUGGGAACUGCAUUCGAAACUGGCAGGCUAGAGUCUUGUAGAGGGGGGUAGAAUUCCAGGUGUAGCGGUGAAAUGCGUAGAGAUCUGGAGGAAUACCGGUGGCGAAGGCGGCCCCCUGGACAAAGACUGACGCUCAGGUGCGAAAGCGUGGGGAGCAAACA
rnacentral:rRNA from 1 species